UGAUCAUGAUGUGGGUAAUUCCUUAGUAGACUUUUGUAUCUCUCCCAUGCCUCAUAAAGGAACUCUCCAGGUUGUUGUUCAAAGUUGGUAAUAGCUUUUUUAAACUU